UACGGAGGGGACUAGUGUUGUUCGGAAUUACUGGGCGUAAAGCGCACGUAGGCGGAUUUGUAAGUCAGGGGUGAAAUCCCGGGGCUCAACCUCGGAACUGCCUUUGAUACUGCAAAUCUCGAGUCCGGAAGAGGUGAGUGGAAUUCCUAGUGUAGAGGUGAAAUUCGUAGAGAUUAGGAAGAACACCAGUGGCGAAGGCGGCUCACUGGUCCGGUACUGACGAUGAGGUGCGAAAGCGUGGGGAGCAAACAGG
rnacentral:rRNA from 1 species